CUAUAAUGCAGUCGAGCGAACAGACGAGGAGCUUGCUCCUCUGACGUUAGCGGCGGACGGGUGAGUAACACGUGGAUAACCUACCUAUAAGACUGGGAUAACUUCGGGAAACCGGAGCUAAUACCGGAUAAUAUAUUGAACCGCAUGGUUCAAUAGUGAAAGACGGUUUUGCUGUCACUUAUAGAUGGAUCCGCGCCGCAUUAGCUAGUUGGUAAGGUAACGGCUUACCAAGGCAACGAUGCGUAGCCGACCUGAGAGGGUGAUCGGCCACACUGGAACUGAGACACGGUCCAGACUCCUACGGGAGGCAGCAGUAGGGAAUCUUCCGCAAUGGGCGAAAGCCUGACGGAGCAACGCCGCGUGAGUGAUGAAGGUCUUCGGAUCGUAAAACUCUGUUAUUAGGGAAGAACAAAUGUGUAAGUAACUAUGCACGUCUUGACGGUACCUAAUCAGAAAGCCACGGCUAACUACGUGCCAGCAGCCGCGGUAAUACGUAGGUGGCAAGCGUUAUCCGGAAUUAUUGGGCGUAAAGCGCGCGUAGGCGGUUUUUUAAGUCUGAUGUGAAAGCCCACGGCUCAACCGUGGAGGGUCAUUGGAAACUGGAAAACUUGAGUGCAGAAGAGGAAAGUGGAAUUCCAUGUGUAGCGGUGAAAUGCGCAGAGAUAUGGAGGAACACCAGUGGCGAAGGCGACUUUCUGGUCUGUAACUACGCUGAUGUGCGAAAGCGUGGGGAUCAAACAGGAUUAGAAACCCGGGGUAAGUCCAAAAAA
rnacentral:rRNA from 1 species